CCAAUGACGUGUCACACUUUUCGGUUUUCCGACGUGAAUCGCGCGUCAUAUUACAAAGCGGAACUGAGUUUGACUUUGAGCUGCGUUAGUUUCCACACGAGCAGAUAAACAGGGGCGUCAUUACGCGUUGGAGAUAAUGGCAGGACUUCGGACGAUUUUUCAUACAAGACUUCUCCAGGCCUCGCCCUUUUCUAUUAGGGCACUGAGAUUUGCCAGUUCCUUUAAGGCAGCAGAUCUUACCAUUGAGCGUAGUAAGACAUGCAAACCAAAGCCGGAUCCCUCCAAGCUGGUGUUCGGCAAACAGUUCUCUGACCACAUGUUGACCAUCAACUGGUCCGAAAAAAAUGGCUGGGCUGCUCCUGAGAUAAAACCUUUCCAGAACCUGUCGUUGCAUCCUGCCAGCUCAGCCCUGCACUACUCCAUUGAGCUGUUCGAAGGCAUGAAGGCAUUUCGUGGAGCUGACAACCACAUUCGUUUGUUUAGACCCACGCUUAAUAUGGAGAGGCUGCAUCGUGGCACAGAAAGAUGCUGCCUUCCCGUCUUUGAUAAAGGAGAACUGCUGAACUGCAUCAAAAAGCUGGUGGAGAUUGACCAGGAGUGGGUGCCGUACUCUCAGGAUACAAGCCUCUAUAUCAGACCCACUUUCAUAGGAACUGAGCCAUCUCUUGGUGUCUCUCGUACUGGACAAGCUCUCCUCUAUGUCAUCAUCGGUCCCGUAGGCCCAUAUUUUGCCACUGGUUUUUUUAACCCCGUGUCACUUCUGGCAGACCCUUCAUUUGUCAGAGCCUGUAAAGGUGGCGUUGGUUCUUACAAGAUGGGAGGUAAUUAUGGCCCAACUAUUAUGAUUCAGAAUGAGGCAGUGAAGCAGGGAUGUCAGCAGGUUCUGUGGCUGUAUGGAGAAGAAGAGGAGAUCACUGAGGUCGGAACUAUGAAUCUUUUCAUUUACUGGACCAAUGAAAAUGGAGAGAAAGAGCUAGUAACUCCACCACUAGAUGGCAUCAUCCUGCCAGGAGUCACCCGACAGUCUCUGCUGGACCUUGCCAGAUCUUGGGGAGAGUUUAAGGUUACAGAGCGCACGGUGAAUAUGAAGGAACUGCUUGGAGCUCUGGAUGCUGGAAGGGUUCUGGAGGUUUUUGGAGCAGGGACAGCUUGUGUUGUCUGUCCUGUUGGCAGCCUCCUCUAUAAAGAAAAGACCUAUCAAAUCCCCACGAUGGAGAAUGGUCCAGAUUUGACAAAGAGGUUCCACAAAGAACUGACUGAUAUACAGUACGGACGCAAACAAAGUGAAUGGGCACCAAUCGUUGUAUAAAUUGGCCAUCCUGAUGCUGUUUCCUUAUCCUCAUCCAGCACAUUAAGACCAUUAGUACACUCCUCUUGUUUCUUUACCUACGGAAGUAGGAUGCCUAUUUUCUCCUCUCUCCUUGAGUCUCUUAAAUCAAUGCUUUGGUUCAAACACGGAGUAGCUGUGUUUACAUUCUCCAACCCAGGUGCUGUAGCUUAUUCUUAUAUGCUGUAAUACUAGAGACGAAGGUUUUUUUUUUUUUUUGGAUGGCAUUUUGUGACACUGCCACUGUACCAGUUGAUUUUUUUUUUAAGCAAAAGGCUAGUCAUAUCCUCAACUAACAUUGUUGUAGAUUACGCACCAAAAUAAUAAUGAAGCACAAAAUGAUUCAGUGCUUCAUCAUCUGUACUUUUGCAUCAACAGAGCCUAACUCAUCCCUAAUUCAUAGGACACUCGAGAAAACUGUGCUUUAUAUACACAAAUGUAAACCACUAUCUUCGGCGGACAUAAACUAACUUGUAUCAGUAUUUCACAUGUAGGAAUGAACAUACGUGAACAUAGAUGCAAUACUAAAGAGGUUUUAUGGAAUACAGAAUAGGACUUGAUAGUGUAUGUAAUGGUUAUCAUCAACUCGACGCAUUACAGAGGAAAAAAAAAUGAUACUGUCGGUAAUCAUAGGAUACGCUUAUGUAUCUUAGAAACAUAUCUGUGUGUGUGUGUAUUUUUAUUUUCGUCGACUUCGGUUAACUAGAGAGAUUUUAUCUGAUGGUUUGGUUUAAGCCUUGUAAAGAGAAAGCAGAGGUGGAUUUUUAAAAUGCGUGUUUGUCUUGUUUUGGUCAUUGAUGAAUGCAGUUACUGCACUGAAGAUCAUGGAGUGUACUGUCCAAGUAAUGUUACAAAUGCACAGGUGCGCCAUGGAAGGCGCCUGCAGUUCCACCUGCACUAUUAUCUCUGUGAACACUAAAAUGUCUGGAAACAGAUGUAUUUUUUUUAAAAAUAUAUAGGUUUUAAAUAAUGAUUAUACGUUGUUUGCAAUUGUGUUGAUGUAAUGCAGAUGAACUACGCUCCUACGUCCUACAUUAAUGUCUCGAUUGCUGCUUUCUUCCACGUAUCAUUUUAGUUUCCUGUUUUUGCCUUUCCUCUGUGAUUCUUUGUCUGAAUAUUCUCGUUACAUUUUCAGCUGCUGUGUAGUUUCACAGUUUGCGCACCCAUGGGAUCUAGCUGGAUUAUUUGUCAUAUUUUAUUUCAUUGUUUGUUUUAUUGGUAAUGUUUUUGGUUUUUUUUUUUUAACCUGCUGUUACAUUUCCUCUAUUGCUGUUUUUACAAUAAACUUGAUCUGAGGUGUUCAAUUUAUUUGAAAUGCUCUAAAUGAAAGUGUUUUAAUAAACAACUAAAACA